rnacentral:rRNA from 1 species
GUAGGAUAGAAAUAAAUUAUAUUAGUUAAAAGUUAAAAGAGAGAGAGUUAGGAGAUUGGUUAAUUUUAUAGGUAAAAUUUGUUGAAUUAGUUAUUUUCUAAGAUGGAGAAUUGAAGCUUUGAAAGUUAAAAUUGAAACUAGGAUUAGAUACCCUAUUAUUUUAAUUGUAAAGAGGGAAGCUGGAGUAGUAGUAGUUAAGUACUUGAAACUCAAAGAAUUUGGCGGUAUCUUAGUCUUUUCAGAGGAAUCUGUCCUAUAAUCGAUAGCACACGUUAAAUGUUGCUUAACUUGGUAUAACCAAUUUGUAUACCGCCGUCAUAAGAUCAUCUUUUUAGAGGAAGAAUUUUCUUGAUAUUAUAAGAUAAUAUGUCAGGUCAAGGUGCAGUUUAUAGUUAAGAGGGAGAUGGAUUACAAUAGAUUUAUUUAAAUGGAUUCCUUGCUGAGAGGUGAGGAUGAAGGUGGAUUUGAAGGUAAUUUUACUAAAUUAUGGUAAAAUGAUUGAAGCUCUAGGAUAUGUACACAUCGCCCGUCGCUCUCGUUAUUAAGAUGAGAUAAGUCGUAACAUAGUAGUCGUACUGGAAAGUGUGGCUGGAAAGUCAA